UACAAGCCUGUUUUAGGUUUUGUAACAAGCCGAUGGGGCGUGAUAUUGCUUGUCAUAGUUACUCUGAUU
rfam:Musca domestica strain aabys unplaced genomic scaffold Scaffold19428, whole genome shotgun sequence.